CGGGACGUGGCGCAGCUUGGUAGCGCACCUGCUUUGGGAGCAGGGGGUCGAGUGUUCAAAUCACUCCGUCCCGA
rnacentral:tRNA from 1 species